UCCUGGCUCAGGAUGAACGCUAGCGACAGGCUUAACACAUGCAAGUCGAGGGGCAGCAUAAAAGUAGCAAUACUUGGUGGCGACCGGCGCACGGGUGAGUAACGCGUAUGCAACCUACCUAUCAGAGGGGAAUAACCCGGCGAAAGUCGGACUAAUACCGCAUAAAACAGGGACACCGCAUGGUGAUAUUUGUUAAAGAAAUUCGCUGAUAGAUGGGCAUGCGUUCCAUUAGGUAGUUGGUGAGGUAACGGCUCACCAAGCCGACGAUGGAUAGGGGAACUGAGAGGUUGGUCCCCCACACUGGUACUGAGACACGGACCAGACUCCUACGGGAGGCAGCAGUGAGGAAUAUUGGUCAAUGGGCGAGAGCCUGAACCAGCCAAGUCGCGUGAAAGGAAGAAGGAUCUAUGGUUCGUAAACUUCUUUUGCAGGGGAAUAAAGUGCAGGACGUGUCCUGUUUUGUAUGUACCCUGAGAAUAAGGAUCGGCUAACUCCGUGCCAGCAGCCGC
rnacentral:rRNA from 1 species